AUUGAACGCUGGCGGCAAGCUUAACACAUGCAAGUCGAGCGGAGAGAGGUAGCUUGCUACUGAUCUUAGCGGCGGACGGGUGAGUAAUGCUUAGGAAUCUGCCUAUUAGUGGGGGACAACAUUUCGAAAGGAAUGCUAAUACCGCAUACGUCCUACGGGAGAAAGCAGGGGAUCUUCGGACCUUGCGCUAAUAGAUGAGCCUAAGUCGGAUUAGCUAGUUGGUGGGGUAAAGGCCUACCAAGGCGACGAUCUGUAGCGGGUCUGAGAGGAUGAUCCGCCACACUGGGACUGAGACACGGCCCAGACUCCUACGGGAGGCAGCAGUGGGGAAUAUUGGACAAUGGGCGCAAGCCUGAUCCAGCCAUGCCGCGUGUGUGAAGAAGGCCUUAUGGUUGUAAAGCACUUUAAGCGAGGAGGAGGCUACUUUGGAUAAUACCUAGAGAUAGUGGACGUUACUCGCAGAAUAAGCACCGGCUAACUCUGUGCCAGCAGCCGCGGUAA
rnacentral:rRNA from 1 species